CCCUGGCUGGCUCAGAGCGUGUGCAUGCGCUUUGGGCUAGUUAAAUCCUCCAAUCAAAGGCUUCUCAGUGAGGCUUUUGAGAAGCCUUUGAUUGAAGGAUUUAACUAGCUCAAAGCGCAUGGACACGCUUUGAGCCAGGAAG